AUGGAGUAAUGGUACGAAGAUGGUCCAUUAUAGCUUUCUCUGAGAUAAAUUGAGAUUUAUACUCCAAGUUUCAUGGCAAUGCUAGGAAUGCAAGCAGAUAUGCAGUGCCAUUACUUCCCAGGGUAUUGUUCCACUAGGGAUCUUAAUUUAAAUGCUAGUUGUAGUAGCUGGCCCUCAAAUAAUGUUGAUAAAAUCUCAAAGAAUGGACACUACUUCAAUGGGAACUUGGCAUCACCAUUUCCCGACCACUAUUUGACAUACAAGGAAAAAGUGAAGCAAACAAUGCUCCGGCAUGAAGCUAUAUUUAGGGAUCAGAUCCAUGAACUCCAUCGCCUUUACAACAGACAGAGAGAAUUAAUGGCUGAAAUGAAAAGGGUUGAGCUUCAUGGACGUCAUCUACGGCUAGAAACCCCACAGUCGAAUCAAAUCUUCUCUGAAAACUCAUUUGAGUGUUUCCAAAGGACCCACAAAGCUUCUUCCUUGCCCUGGCUGAAUCCUGCUUUUAUUCAGUCUUCCAUUUCAGGUACUGAAAACAGCCAAUUGCAUUUAAAUUAUAUUGAAGGAAAGAUCAUACAAGAUGGUUGCAGUACUUUUCAAACUGAAGGCUCUAGAAAAGAAACCGGGUUGUUGGAGUCUAAAUGCAAGAAAGUUGGUAAAAGGAUAUUGGAUCUGGAACUUCCAGCUGAUGAGUACAUUGAUAGUGAAGAAGAGGAAUCUUUAGCUAGUGAGACAGCUCCUCCUGAGGUGUCAGGUUAUCCUAUGAAAAGCAUGGUUGAGGAUGUGCAAAAGAGUUAUGUAGAACUAUUUCGAGGCAUUAGUGAUGGUAAUUUGGUUUUCCAAGAUGAUAGUAUGGCUCAAGCUCCAUUUUCUAGGAAAACCAAAUGCCUAGCUGAUUUGAAUGAACCCAUCAAGCUUGAGGAAGAAGUAGAUCCUGAAUCCAAUGAUUUUCUAGGUCCUGUCCUAGACCAUAGCAGUGACAUGAAUUCUUUCCCUGAAAGGAUUUGUACAGAAACACUGUCCACAUCAUCUGAAGAUGAUGAGAUUGAGCAAGCCCAUGAAAUUUCAACUUCUUAUCUUUUGAAUUUAAACAGUGGAAAAUUGCACAGAGAAAGGAGCGAUUUUGGUUUAGAAAGCUAUCCUGAAAAGGUUGCAACUGCUUGCAAGCAUACUUCAAGUGAACUUAUUCCUCUGGAUGAUGUAAAGAAUCAUGAUUCAUCUUUGGUUUCAUCUUGGAGAAAGCAUACACGUGACAUUGUGAGGACCCCUAUAGCAGUUCAAGCACUUCCAUGUUUUAACUCUGUACCGUUGAGCAGAAGCUCUAAGUUCAGAAGCCCCGAGAUUCCUGGAGGCAAGUCUUGCAGUGUUAUAAAUCUUGAAUCUGGACCAACAUUUUGUAGUAUAAGUGCUCAAAGCAGCUCUUGUGAUGGUGACAAUGAGUUUGCAUCUGAAGCUAGUAACACUCAAAAGCACACUAAGGGUUCUGUGGAUCUAAAGUUGACAAGGGGUAUAGACCUGAAUUCCAUGUCUCCUAGCUGUUCUUCAGAUGUGGCUGCCCAUGGUAUUUGGAUAACAGACGGUGAAGAGAAAUGUAAAGAGUCAAAAGGGGGCUCACCUUUGCUUCGAGAAAACCCAGCUCAUCUUGUGAAAUCCAAUAAAAAACUCCAAUUGGAUUGCAAUUCUGUGCCCGAGUCAGAAGAACAGAUAAAUGACCUAGUUUUUGGAAGUAGAUGCUGUGAAAUGUCUUCAGGCUUUCGAUUACACGUUGACCUCAACUCAUGCAUGAAUGAGGAUGAUUCUUCUCCAAUGCCCACUUUGUCAGCAGAAAUAGAUUUACAGGCACCUGCAAGUCCAGAAAACAAGGAGACUUCUCCACCUAGAGGAGAAUCAGAUGAAAACCAACUUGACAUGCCUUGUCAACUUCCAGAGCAAGAAAAUAGGGAUCUGCUAGAGGAUCUAAUUACAGUUGCAGCAGAGGCU
rnacentral:misc_RNA from 1 species